rnacentral:lncRNA from 1 species
CACCAGUCCCGGCACGCUUCCCCAUUGGCCAGGGCCCCCUCACGACAGCCUCCGCACCCCGCCCAUCUGCGCUCGCUAUUGGAUGGAGGCCCAGAGGGGCGGGAAGGGGCGGUGUCGAAGCGCCAACAGAUGGGGGCGGGGCCUUUCCCUCCGGGAGCCGGGCGUGGGCCGGGGGCCGCGGCCGGGUGCAGCGGCGGGCGUCGUGGGGGAGGGUUGGGGGCGCGGGCCGCGUGCAGCUGGGGGUGGGGGAGAGGGGGAGGGGCAGGGCAGGCGGUGUCCCCCAGCACGGCGGGGCCGCUCCUCCGGCCCUGCGGGUCGUCGCAGCACCCCUCACGCCUACCAGGGCCGGGCAGCAAACAGACUUUGAUCCUCCGAGCUGAGUCCACGUGCCAAGACCCCGCCUGGCGGGUGGCCUGA